AUGGAGCAUACAAUUGUUAGUUAUGAAAACUGAACAACACUUGAAGCAUACGAGUUUACAUGAAUCAUUUAUAUAAGACAGUUUCAUAAACGGUUACAGUUAAUAACAAUCUCUAACUAAAUCUGGUCAGGAAAAGAUACAAAUUCCAGUACUAGUAUCUCUAAAAAAAAUAUUAUAUAAAUUAGGAACGCAACAUUUUUAUUUCCAUUGCUUGCACUUUUUAAAUAAUAAAAUGGAUGAACAUGUAUUAAAUUGUCAGCAGAUCAAAAGAAGUCAGA
rnacentral:lncRNA from 1 species